UCACGGGUAGUGUAGUGGUACCACACUCUCCUUUCAAAUUACUUUGAAAUCACGAAAGAAACCGGGGUUCGAGUCCUCGCCUGUGGC